GAGUUGGAAUUGAGAAUUCAGAAAACAUGAUAGAGAAGGAACAGGAAGAAACCAUUUGGACAUCCAAAAAUAAAAGGCCAGAAUCUCACUUUGUUGCCCAGGCUGGUGGUCUCUAACUCCUGGACUUAAGCAAUCCUCCCGCCUCAGCCUCCCAAAGUGCUGGGAUCACAGGUCUGAUUAUAAAAGGAGAAUUGGAGGCUUACCAAACAUCUGAAGAGCUUUCCAGAAGUUUGGUCACUUCUGAAUUAGAGAAGUUAAAACCCAAUCACCUACUAAUGCUGUGGGAAAGUUCUGCAGGUGAUACAUCACAGGGGCUCAUGAAUGUGUCUUAAGCUGGGUCAUUGAAGUGGAAUGUUUUCACAAGACCUCCUCCACUUGCUACUGUGUCCGGAAUUGGUGGGUUCUUGGUCUCACUGACUUCAAGAAUGAAGCCGCGGACCCUCGCGGGAGUGGCAAAUCAAAGGCAUUGCAGCCUCUUUCAUCACUGCCGAUUGCUGAUGCCAACCAUGUGCCAAGUGCUUAAUACGUCACCUUAAAUCUUCUCAUCCACCCUCAGAGUAGCUGCAGCAUCAACCCAGUGCCCUGACUUUCAAGACGACUAUGAAAACACCCCAACUGCUGCUAAAUUACCAGCAACAAGGAUCUGACAUUCUUAUUCAAAAGAAAGAACACCGAAAUUGACCUUACCCUGACAAUAUGAUGGCUGAAGGAUUUAUGAUCACUUAUAACAUUUGAAAUUGAGGCGGAACCUGAAGAAUAAGACUCUGGUGAAAGGUCCUAUUUAUGCUUUUGAUGUCUUUCACUUGGACAUUUACCACAUGCCUAUUGGUAGGUUUGUUACAUAGGUCAGUUAAGGUGAUACAAGAAUAAAUAAAACACUAUCCCUAUCCUUUAAUAUCAUUUAUUUAUGGGGUCAAUCACAGAUUUUCAUUUUUCAAAAUCUUUGAUAAAUGUCAGAAUUAUGUUUUUUAAUAUUUUUACAGAAUUAUUACAAUAUAUGGUAGAGGAUGGAAGGCAAGGUAGUAUGAAACGGAAAAGAUAUUUUGAAUUAAGGUAUUUGGACCUGGAUUAAUAUUUUUGCUUUGGUCUUUAUUAGCUGAGUGACCUUGAGAAAGUUCUUCUACUAAAAAAGAACAAAGAUAAUAAUUACUUCAUGAAAUUGCUGUAAAAAACACAUAACAAGUAUAUCCAGACUCAACAGUGUAUGCUCAAAAAUGCAGAUCCUUUUUCCCUUACCUGCAAAUAAAGUCUUACAGUAAUACAGUGGGGGUAAAGGUUUAAACUGGUGGAUUCAAGAAGGGCUAUAGAAAGAGGUAGCAUCUUAAUAGGGGAAGGAGAGGAUCCAAGAAAUCAGAUCCAUUUUCUACAAAAAGAAAUGGGAAGACAGAUAAUUCAAGAAGAAAAGUUUACAUGAUUAAAGACCCGAAGUUAGAAAUAGUGAUGUGUCUCAAUAGUAAGUUAGGAAUUGGGGUGGACACAAUUGUUGGAAGAAGGAUGGUUUCAGCAAAGGCCCAAGUUAGGUGACAAUUUCAAGUGUUUGUGAAGAUAUAUGAACAAAAUUAUAAAGUAGUUAGGGUAUAAGAAAUAGGGAGGAGGGAAUGAAUUAACAUUUAUGGAGUGUCUUGCAUGUUCCAAGCACUGUACUACUUGCCUUAUAAACCUUUCUUCAAUAAACGCCUACAACAA
ensembl:lncRNA LINC01505 long intergenic non-protein coding RNA 1505